rnacentral:piRNA from 1 species
UGAAAAAACCCUGAAUUUCAAUUCUGGAUC